rnacentral:rRNA from 1 species
AUGCGACCACUGGCAUAUUUUGGGGAGCGGCACGAACAUCAAGCAAUGGCUGAGAUGAAGUUCCGAGCUAAGACAUAUGGUGUUAAUUGUCUCAAAGAUGGAAUGAUUUGCUCCAUGGAAACUAUCUCAUUAGCUGCAUUCCAAUUACAGUUCAUGUUCAUGGCCUUGUUGUGGUUGCACCGUGGUCCGUGGGGAACAGGAUCGAAUACCUUUGCUACAACCAAGGGAAGACUAUUAAAACACGAAGAUUAUGAGGAAAGGAUUCAGAGCUUUUUGCCGAACCCAGAUUGCCACACACAUGAUGCAAAAUUAACAACCAGGACUUUGAAAUAUGGAUGA